rnacentral:rRNA from 1 species
GAUGAACGCUGGCGGCGUGCCUAAUACAUGCCAGUCGAGCGAACAGACGAGGAGCUUGCUCCUCUGACGUUAGCGGCGGACGGGUGAGUAACACGUGGAUAACCUACCUAUAAGACUGGGAUAACUUCGGGAAACCGGAGCUAAUACCGGAUAAUAUAUUGAACCGCAUGGUUCAAUAGUGAAAGACGGUUUUGCUGUCACUUAUAGAUGGAUCCGCGCCGCAUUAGCUAGUUGGUAAGGUAACGGCUUACCAAGGCGACGAUGCGUAGCCGACCUGAGAGGGUGAUCGGCCACACUGGAACUGAGACACGGUCCAGACUCCUACGGGAGGCAGCAGUAGGGAAUCUUCCGCAAUGGGCGAAAGCCUGACGGAGCAACGCCGCGUGAGUGAUGAAGGUCUUCGGAUCGUAAAACUCUGUUAUUAGGGAAGAACAAAUGUGUAAGUAACUAUGCACGUCUUGACGGGACCUAAUCAGAAAGCCACGGCUAACUACGU